rnacentral:misc_RNA from 1 species
CUUCACAACAGAGUCAAUUUUUGGCAUCCAUAGAAAAAAAAAAACGUGGUGUGCAAACUAUGUAAUGUAUAAAGCCUUGAUUAUAAUAUUAAACACACUCUCACUAGAGUACUUUAAAUUCCAGAAAUGUACCCACAACAGGGGGAAAAAAAAGGCUAUCCUUUAGCUGUAUCAGCAUCCACCCUUCGGCAUCCCUCAAAAUGUGAAUACAAGGAGGCAACUUUAAGGUUUCCAAGCUUGUUAAUGUCAAUUACGCAUGCCUACGCCUUUUUGUAUUGUCCUCAGCAAAGAACUCCCAGUUUUCAUGAUUCAGAGUACUUAAAUCAUCAAGUUCUGCAAUGGCAAGUAAGUAUUGGGUGAGCUUCACGAGCUCCUGAUCACUAUCUCUAUUUGCAUGAGCCUUCCUGAAAGGCUUGAUUGUCAAACCAUUUUGUGGGUUCAUCACAAAAUUUCUUCGCAGAUCAUCGAACAUUAUAGUGUUUUUUGGAUUGUAAAACUCGGGAAACUGAGCCCAAAUCAAUCCAAGUGGCUUGCAGUCAAAGAUUCCCCGAGAAUCUGAUUGAACUGUAAUCAUUGCUAAAUGAUCUAGAAGAGCUGUGAUUUUAUAGUUUGGAUUGUUGAGCACUCCCAGUUGUCCCAUUUUCAAUUCAAUCCACUUCAAUCUGGUUGCAGACCAAAUCAUAAUAUCAUACUCUGCAUAAACAGCUGUGAGAAACUCAUGAAGAUAAGGCCGCAUGAGUUCGAGUGGGUUCUCUGCUGUGGAUCGGUGAUCAAAUAGAGUAUAAUCAAUAUCUAGAACGAGCAGCUUUUUCCCUUCACGACAUGGAUUCUGAAGUGCAAUCUUAUAUUGAUCUAUGCGCCUCCUUAGUUUUUGCUUAUUAACUUCCUUAUCUUUAAUGUCAACAGCUUCAUCUUGCCCCAGCUCAAAAUCAUCAACAACCUCGGAGGAGUCCACUUGAUCCACAAUUAUAUCAUCUUCAACAGUUCCAAUCAUCGUCAUCUUGAGAGAGGACUUGAGGGGAAGCUGGGAGAGCAAAACGGAGUCAUCAGCAAGCUUAUUACCGAUUUUGGGGUAGAGAAGCUUUUGUCGCUUAGGCAUAACAUUGGUAAGUUCGCAUAUACGGCGCUUCAACUCGCCCACAGAGUCGUCGCCACAGACUCGAACAGUGUACUCCUUGCCGCUCCACUUCACUGUGAGUGUCAGCUCCUCCUCUGUGAUCGACGAGGUAGAUACCGAAGAAGUAGCGGCUGCCAUUUUUGACCCUGUGAGCUCUCUCUCUCUCUCUCAGAGUUUUAAAA